AGAAACCUGGCCUGCCCAGUGCCAUGAAGCUGUUCAGCGGAGGGGCUGGAACCAGAACCAGGGUCUUCAGACCUGGAGCCAGCGUGGAUUUUUUUUCCUUUCUGCCCCUGAAGAGUUCCCCACCGCCAUCCCCCACCUGGGCCGGAGCAGGCCCCUGCAGCUCUUCUGAAUGUGGGGAAUGCUCCGAUUCCUCACGCACUCACAGCCCCGCUGUCUCAGGAAGCUCGCAAUAAAUUGUUUUUCCAGGCAACGCCUUGCUCCCAUCCCUGCAAAACAAUGUAUUUAUUAUUGCUGAGCCUUUUCCAUCUUAGAGGAGAAAAUGCAUUCCACAUGACUCCCCAAAGCUGAGCGGUCCCGGUUUACAAAUACGAAAAUGUUACGUGAUGUAUGAUUACCUGAUGACAACGAUGAGUACAACUGGGGUCGAUUGAUUUGGGAGCAAACACAAGGAACUCUUGAUCUCAGCAGGGAAUGGGAGUCUCAGAGGCACGUCAGAUAAUAUCCACAGAAAACCCCAGGCGCAGGGUCAGCCCUGGGAGGAGAGGCGAGGUCUUGAAGAGGAGCCUGGCGCAGCAGAACCUGGGUGGGACCAGCGUCCUGCCUUGGACACCUGCUACCUGUGACCAGAUGAAACUUGUCACGUACUGCCAAACAGGAACAAGGAGUCAACAGACUGCCUUGCCGCUGGAGACAUGCUGCACGGAGCAGCAGGUGGCUAUCACCUGGGUUCUCACUGUCCUUGGGGAGGGAGGUCCUUGGCCACCUACCUACGCUGCCGGCUUUUGUUGGAGGAAGUGGGAAAGAGGCUGCUUGGUUAGCCAGAUGUGCCUAAACACUUUGGAAUUCCAAGUCCAGAGGGAAGUUCCCGAUUCAGAGCGAGCCGGUGCCAAUUCUGAUUUUCAUGUCGAGAUCUGAAUUCUAGACGGCAAAACCCCCAUCCACCCCACCUGGAAGACUGAUGCUCCUGCUUUCAACUCGCAGUCUCCCGUCACCUCCCUCGUUGCGUGCUCUCGCGCCCUCUCCUUUUCCAUAAUAAAACAGAAAUGUAAUCAGA